CAUCACAUUGAAAUACCGGUUGCCAUACAAACACCAAAGUUAAGCAACAUUGAGCCUUGUCAACACCUAGAUGGGUGACUGCCUGGGAAUACCAGGUGCUGUAAG